ACGGCUCAGUAACACGUAGUCAACAUGCCCAGGGGACGUGGAUAACCUCGGGAAACUGAGAUUAAACCGCGAUAGGUCAAGAUUUCUGGAAUGGAUCCUGGCUUAAAUCUACAUGGCCCCUGGAUUGGACUGCGGCCGAUCAGGCUGUUGGUGAGGUAAUGGCCCACCAAACCUAUAACCGGUACGGGCUCUGAGAGGAGAAGCCCGGAGAUGGGCACUGAGACAAGGGCCCAGGCCCUAUGGGGCGCAGCAGGCGCGAAAACUCUGCAAUGGGCGAAAGCCUGACAGGGUUACUCUGAGUGAUUUCCGCUAAGGAGAUCUUUUGGCAGCUCUAAAAAUGGUGCAGAAUAAGGGGUGGGCAAGUCUGGUGUCAGCCGCCGCGGUAAUACCAGCACCCCGAGUGGUCGGGACGAUUAUUGGGCCUAAAGCAUCCGUAGCCGGUUGUGCAAGUCCUCCGUUAAAUCCAGCCGCUCAACGGAUGGGCUGCGGAGGAUACUACAGAACUAGGAGGCGGGAGAGGCAAGCGGUACUUAGUGGGUAGGGGUAAAAUCCUUUGAUCCAUUGAAGACCACCAGUGGCGAAGGCGGCUUGCCAGAACGCGCUCGACGGUGAGGGAUGAAAGCUGGGGGAGCAAACCGGAUUAGAUACCCGGGUAGUCCCAGCUGUAAACGAUGCAGACUCGGUGAUGGGCUAGCCUCGUGUCAGCCCAGUGCCGCAGGGAAGCCGUUAAGUCUGCCGCCUGGGGAGUACGGUCGCAAGACUGAAACUUAAAGGAAUUGGCGGGGGAGCAC
rnacentral:rRNA from 1 species